UUUGUAAUGGCGGUCCCGCGUAUGUUUGAGUUUAUUAUAAUAGUUUCUGUCGUCAUAACUCGUCACCGCCCAGUGUAUUGCAUAUACAAUGAUCUGCCCAAACCUCGUUUAUGUGGAUGCACUGAAGUUGAAAACGUUUGUGAAGAUGGAGUGUGUGAAACUUAUCAACAGUGCUACUCAUUUCUUGAGGACGGUUGUUCUGAUAAGCAACAGAGAUCCAUGGGAUGUAUGGGAGAUAUGAUUUCGAGCGCUCGAGCACUGAGGUGCCCUACCAAGAUCGGAGACACAGUGAUGGUGGGCGGUGACGUCAUGCAGUGUUGCAAUGCCACGAACUUCUGCAACUUAAGUCUUGAUCCCUCACCAGUCUGCGAAGCUA